rnacentral:lncRNA from 1 species
AAAUGGGUGUCAAAACGAAAUAAUGUGAUUUAUGACUCGUUUUUACAUGAAUAAAGAAUAAUUAAAUACUAACAAAAUAAUCAGUAAAAGAAGUCGUACUAAAGAAGAAGCUCUCAAAGCAUUUUAUGAUUAUGGAGGGAGGGCGGUUGGUACUAAAAAAGUUAAUUGUUGUUCAUCUUUUUAUAUAUUCAUUCUGCUGUAUAUAAUAUUAUACAAUCACAAAUACAAAUAAAAAGUUUAUCAUAGGAAUAUAAGAAAUUGAUCUUGAUUUUUUGUUAAAAAUAGACCAUUAUUCUUUUUAGAUAUAGAAAGUUAAUUUGAAGAAAAAGACGAGUCAUAGCAUGUGAUUUUGCGCAUCCUAUUUUUUAGUGAAAUGGUUCUACAUAAUUUUUAGUUGAAAUAUGACGCAAAUCAAGAAUUCAUUCUUUCAUGUUUAAUUUAAAACAAUUCUCACAAAUUCUUCAUAUAUAUAAUUAAUAGUAUAUACUCCCUUCGUUUAAAAAAGAAUGACCUAUUUUGACUUGACACAAAGUUUAAAAAAAUAAAGAAGACUUUUAAAUUUUGUGGCCUUAAAUUAAAGUUACGUCAAAUGUACCAAAAUACUCUUUAAUCUUGUAGUCCUAAAUAUGUCAUAUGAAAAGUUGAAAUUAAAGUAUUGCAAAAAAAAAAAAAAUAUAUCAUUCUUUUUUAAACGAACUAAAAAAAACGUAAAUUAUUUUUUUUUAAGCAAAGAAAGUAAUAUUAUAAUAUUAAAUUAUUUAACGCUAAUAAGCCACGUCAAAGUGACACAACUCACUUAAAAAAACAGAACAAAAAAAGCAUCAAAAGAAAUAGGAAACAAAACUAAAAGAAAACAAAAGAGUAAAGUGAAUUUGGAAAGUAGAAAACUCGACAAAAGCAAUGAUGAAAACCCUGAAACUUUUCAUCUUCUCCGGCAGAUUUCAGCAUCAACAAAGCAAUUCGAAGUCCAGCUAGGUCAGAUCGGUUACAUAACAGGCAAUCAUGAAGAAAUUUGCUUCUUUUGUAGGGCUUGGCCAUAUCCACUUAGGCAUGCUCUCACCAGACACCAUGAAUGUACAGACCAGCGAAAUAUUCUUCUACUUUCUUCAAUGAAUGUAAUUUCUAUUGCUCUUUUACGGCAGUGUAAGCUUGCAAGUUCUGCAAACUUAUGACUCUCUUCAUGUGAUAUGAUAAUUUGAAUACUAUUAGUCCACUCCCAAAUGAAUGAAUUUUCUUAGAAAUUUAUAUCACCCUUAGAAGAAAGUUAAUAGAUUUGAAAUACAAUGUUUUUUAGAAUAUUCUGAUGUAUCGCUUAAUUGAAUGUUAUACCUUACCAGUGACUUUAAAUGAACUGAGACUUUGUAGGGAUAGUACUUGUUGUGUGACACAUUUAAUUACCUCCUGUCGGUGUUUUUAUUUGUGUGUAGCUUAAUACGCUCUAAUGCCCUGGCUUUAUCAGCAUUUAACACUUUCUUAAUAUCGUCUGUAGGGAGUUCCUAAAAGUUAUGAAACUGAUGUGUGCUUUGUAUACCUGCAAAAUCCAAAACAAAGUUAGUUAAAGAGUGUGCCACCUUAUUCCCCUCUUUCAUGAUGUGAACCACUUUGUGUUCUCCUUUAGACAACCAUACCCUAAUCUUGUUCACCACAUAUACUCCAGGGGGUUGCCCUUUCUCCUUCAAUGAUUUUCUUUAGAUAUAGACAAUAUAUUUUCAUAAUAACAAGGACACGAUUAUUAGUGAUGCAAUAAGCAAUGCCUUCUUCCAUAGUCGUAGCUUCUGCAUUGAGAGAAAUAGUAUCAUGAAUACAUGUAGCCUUAGCAUAUAUAAGAUCACCACUGGAAUUUGUAAUAUAAAAGGAUAUUGAGCUAUCAUAAGGAUUACCCCUCGAAGCUCCAUCACAGCUACAUUUAAACCAUCCCAUAGGAGGAAAAUUCCACAAAAUAAAUUCUUAACUCAACGUAAGCCUGUCUUCUUCAAGGAAAUGUACCAAUUGAGGCCAAUUAUGUGGCAUGUUUUCAUCUAAGAGUACCAUUAAUUAGCAAUCAGGUAUAAGUUCCAGUUCAUCUCAUACAAUACUUUGCUUCUAUUCAUAGUACCUCUAUGCACUAGAGACUUUCUCCAUUUCCAAAGCUGCCGCAAAUGAUAGCUAAAGCAGCUUGAAAGAGAGGUUUUAACUUAGGGUUGCAAGAGAGGUUUUAACUUAGGGUUGCACUCUGUACCACCACACUAUGAUAGCCUGAUUGAUUUGCACCCAUGGUCCAGCAAUCCUUGCAGUCUCUGUGAACACUCUCCAAAUGUCUCUUGCUUGUUUGCCUGUAAGAAAUGUUAGCCCAUAUGUUAUUGGGCCUUUAGUUUAUGGACCUUUAGGUUAUUGGCUAUGUAUAUAUAUAGCCUACUUUUGUUUUAGUUAGUUUUUAUGCUUUUCAGAUUAUAUUGUAAACCUUAGCCUUUCUUUCUUUCAAUAAAGUUCUAUUAACAUGGUAUCAAAGCUAGGUUGAUCCAUGUCCUUUGAUUUGUUGGUUGAAGAUUUUGUAGCAGGCACCUACUGCGCGGAUCGAACUCCGCGGUGAGUUCGCUAGGGGGUACGGGGGGCAGCGCGCCCCCGUCCGGGGUUCGGGGCGGAGCCCCUAAUUUUGAGGUAGAUGGUAAGAACUGUGCCUAUUGGAGUUAUGUCAUGAAGAAUUUUCUUCGUGGGAAGAAUAUGUGGGGUUAUAUCACUGGAGUAAAACUAAGACCUAUCGAUGAUAAAACUGAAAAUUUUGAUUUGUUGGUGGACUUAUGGGAAACUAAUAACUCCAAGAUUAUCACUUGGAUCAACAAUUCUGUAACUCAGUCAAUUGGUAUGCAAUUGGCUAAGUAUGACACAGCAAAGGAGGUCUGGGAUCAUUUGGAAAGACUGUACACUCAGUCUAAUUUUGCUAAGCAGUACCAGUUGGAGUAUGAUAUCCGUGCUCUUCAACAGCAUGAUCUCAGUAUUCAAGAUUUUUAUGCUGCCAUGUCGGAUUUGUGGGAUCAAUUGGCACUUACUGAAUCUGCAGAGUUAAAAGGUUUUGGGCCGUACAUUGCUAGACGGGAAGAGCAACGCUUGGUUCAGUUUUUGAUGGCACUACGUUCUGACUUUGAGGGCCUACGUGGAACAAUCCUUCAUCGAUCUCCCCUCCCUACUGUUGAUUCUGUGGUUCAUGAACUGAUUGCAGAGGAGACUCGUAUCAAGUCUCAAGUGGAUAAAGGGUCUAAAGUAACUACUACUCCUGUCGUGUUUGCUGCUUCAACUGAUCAGUCUAGGCCACCACGUACUCAGACUCGACAAUCUCCUAAAGUUGCAUUUGAUGAGUGUGCAUUCUGCAAACAGAAAAAUCAUUGGAAGGCUCAGUGUCCGUUGUUACUUAACAAGGUCAAACAGCCUCAAUCUGGGCAGCAACAGAAAUAUGGGCAGCAAAAGUCUCCGUCACGCUCCUCUGGUGCUCCUCCAUGGUCAUCUCGUCCUCCACAGUUCGCUGCUGCUGCACCAUCUGUAGAUGUUGAGUCUGUUAGCACUAUGCCACCUUCUGCGUUGGAUCCCCAGGUUUUCGAACAGUUCAGACAGUUCUUCGUUUCUAAUCCUACGGCCAUGUCAGCAUCUAUGUCUCAUUCGGGUUCAGUUUCUUCUAGUACCUCAGGUAUUCCUUCCUCCUUGUGGAUAUUGGAUUCUGGUGCGUCUCAUCACAUGUCCCCUCAUUUGUCAUCGUUUGGUUCUUUGUCACCCAUUUCACCAAUCUCUGUUAUGUCCGCGAGUGCUGUACCUAUGUCAGUCGAGGGUGUUGGUUCUGUUACUACCCCUCACAUUGUCCUCUCUGAUGUUUAUUACAUUCCCAAACUUGCUUUAAAUCUUGUUUCGGUCAGUCAGUUGUGUAAGGCUGGUAAUUGGGUGUUUUUUUCUGAUUCUGUUUGUGUUAUACAGGACCAACACACUCAGAGGGUGAUUGGGACCGGCCGUAGGUUG